CUUCAUGUUCUUAAUUUCAUAGCCCUUAUUUAUCCCUUGUUUGAUAUACCUAAUCUGCGCCGAACUAUGUGUUUAUUUAAAAUGCAUAUGAGUGUAGUAGUGCUUCAGUGAUGAUCUUUUUAUCUUCUGUGUGUUUUGCAACUUAUUAAUCUUAGUCUCCCUCUGUUCCCUCUGUUUACAGACAUUGCAUUGUGAGGACUGGUGCCCUGGGAACACUGAGCGCAUUCUCGAAAAUUCCAAAUUUGUGCCACUUCCAUACGAAGACAGCCCAGAAUAAUUGGGCUCCAUCAACCAUCCCGGGUAAAGUCGGUCUGUCCUGAUUGCACUACUUGUUAAUUGAUGACGUCUAGAAGCCAUAGCUGCUUCCCUCAACGUGGCGUAAGUGUUAAUGUGUUUUGAAUGUAUUUAUUGGUACCAUUGUGAGUGCUCUACUGUGAAUGAAUGCAGCUACUUAAAAUACUAUACUCUUGAAAUAUCCAUGUUUACCAUUGUGUUGGUGGUAAUGUAAAGUGUUGUGAAUAUCUGCCAAACUGAUCACAUUCAUUAUUUCAAGUGUAUUGUAUAGAAUGCAUACUUAUGUUAAAUCCUAUCUUUUAUUGACGGAGCCCUCACAAAUAAACUGAUACCAGGAAUUAACAUACAGUAGAUGGUGAUGGUGGUGGUGGCAAGGGUGCCUUCACAAGUGUGGAGCCAAAGGCUGCUAUUGCAAGUCAGAUGGGGGACGAUCGAUGUAAGGCAUCAGAAAGGUGGUGUACGUACAAAGGCUGGAGCUGCUGGAGACAGUGUUGCACUUAGAUACUUGAUUUACUGCCGAAGGUACCAUCAGAGCACCACCCUACCCCUGCAGGACCAGAAGAGGACGGACAGGGGGCCAACAUUUUUUAACACUCUGACCAUGGACUAUUUAAACCAUUGAGGUAACGCAGACGUCUGAUCCCACUUGGCUAAAACAGAAGACUGAGGAGGAGUUUCUUUCCUCAUGCCAUUCGCAUCCUGAGCACACAUGCUACAUUACAUGGACUUGCCAUACUGCACUUACACACUGCACUAUUUACCCCCUGACUCAUUCCGUGUCAAAUCAGACAAGGUUAUGCUGCACUGUCUCAGGCCUGUACAAUAUUUUUUUGUUCAAUCCUAUGUCUUCAUAUUAUAAUGUUUGUAUGGCCUGCUCAAUGAUUUUCAUUGAAAAGUGUUCAUUAAAAGUUCAAAUGGUAUUUUCUUUGUUGUUGCUUUUAUUGACCAGAUCCAAAACAUGUUGGUAUAGGUCAGGUAAAUCACAAAUCAAAUGUUCAAAUGUACAAUAUCUUUCACUGUAAAUUCACA